UGGGGAAUAUUGCACAAUGGGCGCAAGCCUGAUGCAGCAACGCCGCGUGAGGGACGACGGCCUUCGGGUUGUAAACCUCUUUUAGUAGGGAAGAAGCGAAAGUGACGGUACCUGCAGAAAAAAGCACCGGCUAACUACGUGCCAGCAGCCGCGGUAAUACGUAGGGUGCGAGCGUUGUCCGGAAUUAUUGGGCGUAAAGAGCUCGCAGGCGGUCUGUCGCGUCUGCUGUGAAAACCCGAGGCUCAACCUCGGGCCUGCAGUGGGUACGGGCAGACUAGAGUGCGGUAGGGGGAGAAUGGAAUUCCUGGUGUAGCGGUGGAAUGCGCAGAUAUCAGGAGGAACACCGAUGGCGAAGGCAGUUCUCUGGGCCGUAACUGACGCUGAGGAGCGAAAGCGUGGGGAGCGAACAGGAUUAGAUACCCUGGUAGUCCACGCCGUAAACGUUGGGCGCUAGAUGUGGGGGACCAUUCCAC
rnacentral:rRNA from 1 species